rnacentral:rRNA from 1 species
AGUGAACGCUGGCGGUAGGCCUAACACAUGCAAGUCGAACGGCAGCACAGUAAGAGCUUGCUCUUACGGGUGGCGAGUGGCGGACGGGUGAGGAAUACAUCGGAAUCUACUUUUUCGUGGGGGAUAACGUAGGGAAACUUACGCUAAUACCGCAUACGACCUACGGGUGAAAGCAGGGGAUCUUCGGACCUUGCUCGAUUGAAUGAGCCGAUGUCGGAUUAGCUAGUUGGCGGGGUAAAGGCCCACCAAGGCGACGAUCCGUAGCUGGUCUGAGAGGAUGAUCAGCCACACUGGAACUGAGACACGGUCCAGACUCCUACGGGAGGCAGCAGUGGGGAAUAUUGGACAAAGGGCGCAAGCCUGAUCCAGCCAUACCGCAUGGGUGAAGAAGGCCUUCGGGUUGUAAAGCCCUUUUGUUGGGAAAGAAAAGCAGCAGGUUAAUACCCCGCUGUUCUGACGGUACCCAAAGAAUAAGCACCGGCUAACUUCGUG